AUUUAUACUAGUAUUUUUAAUGCAUUUGAGACAAGAAGCAAAAAUGACUACAUCACGAAUCAUUGUCCUUUUGGCUUUUAUGAUCUUCACUUUUGCAUCACUAUAUGCAGAGGCAGAACAGUGUGAAAACCAGCUUAUAGAGCACCCCUGGGGAAUUUGUGUGAAGGAUGAAGAAUGUCAUGAUCUUUGUGUUAAACUUCAAGUUGGUAUAAAUAUAGUUGCUAAAAGUUAUUGUGACCAUUCUAUAACAUCAUGUAGGUGUAUAGCCUGUCUCCCACCAAUUACAUUUACACCUGGCGGCGGUAUAUAGGAGAGAUAGAGUGGUCCGCCACCUGAUCGCUCGGAUAGAAUUAGAUAUAUGUAUUAGUAUUUUCACGCAUAAAAGUAGUCAAAAUGUAACAGUAGGUGCCAAGGCCCCUAUUAACUUCAUUAAGUGCAAGUCAAUCUCAUAUUCAUCAUUUAUCUGAAUUAUAAAAUUUGGAUUUACAUA